rnacentral:lncRNA from 1 species
GAAAAUUAUAACUACCAUAUAGGAUUUGAAAGUAGCAUUCCUCCAACAAAUUCAUCCUUCUCAAGUGACUUCAUGCCGAAAGAAGAGAAUAAAAGGAGUGGACAUGUGAACAUUGUGGAACCAUCUUUGAUGCUUUUGAAAGGCUCUCUUCAACCCAGAAUGUGGGAAAGUACAUGGCAGAAGAAUAUAGAGUCAAUAGGUUGUUCCAUUCAGCUAGUGGAAGUACCUCAAAGCAGCAAUACGAGUCUGGCCUCUUUUUGCAACAAAGUAAAAAAAAUCAGAGAAAGAUAUCAUGCAGCUGAUGUUAAUUUCAAUUCUGG